rnacentral:rRNA from 1 species
UACAGAGGUCUCAAGCGUUGUCCGGAAUUAUUGGGCGUAAAGAGCGCGCAGGCGGUUGAAUCAGUCGAAUGUGAAAGCCCCCGGCUCAACUGGGGAGGGUCAUUCGAUACUGUUCGACUCGAAGGCAGGAGAGGAUCGUGGAAUUCUCGGUGUAGAGGUGAAAUUCGUAGAUAUCGAGAGGAACACCGGUGGCGAAGGCGGCGAUCUGGACGAUGACUGACGCUGAGACGCGAAAGCGUGGGGAGCGAACAGG